CCUGACUGCUAUCGGAUUGAUACUAAGCCAUGCGAGUCUUUGUAGUAAUACAAGGCAGACGGCUCAGUAACGCGUAGUCAACCUACCCUAUGGACGGGAAUAAUCUCGGGAAACUGAGCAUAAUACCCGGCGUACCACCAUUCCUGGAAUGGUUGGUGGUUAAAAUGAUUCGUCGCCGUAGGAUGGGACUGCGACCUAUCAGCUUGUUGGUGAGGUAAAGGCCCACCAAGGCGAUUACAGGUACGGGCUCUGAGAGGAGAAGCCCGGAGAUGGGUACUGAGACACGGACCCAGGCCCUAUGGGGCGCAGCAGGCGAGAAAACUUUGCAAUGUGCGAAAGCACGACAAGGUUAAUCCGAGUGAUUUCUGCUAAAGGAACCUUUUGCCAGUUCUAAAAAUACUAGUGAAUAAGGGGUGGGCAAGUUCUGGUGUCAGCCGCCGCGGUAAAACCAGCACCUCAAGUGGUCAGGAGGAUUAUUGGGCCUAAAGCAUCCGUAGCCUGCUCUGUAAGUUUUCGGUUAAAUCUAUAUGCUCAACGUAUAGGCUGCCGAAAAUACUGCAGUGCUAGGAAGUGGGAGAGGUAGACGGUACUUGAUAGGAAGGGGUAAAAUCCUUUGAUCUAUCGAUGACCACCUGUGGCGAAGGCGGUCUACCAGAACACGUUCGACGGUGAGGGAUGAAAGCUGGGGGAGCAAACCGGAUUAGAUACCCGGGUAGUCCCAGCUGUAAACGAUGCAGACUCGAUGAUGCAUUGGCAUAUAGCCAGUGCAGUGUCGCAGGGAAGCCGUUAAGUCUGCCGCCUGGGAAGUACGUACGCAAGUAUGAAACUUAAAGGAAUUGGCGGGGGAGCACCACAAGGGGUGAAGCCUGCGGUUC
rnacentral:rRNA from 1 species